GGAAAACCUUCCAACUAAAGGUGACCUAUCACUUCAUGAAGUACAACUUGGCCCCACAACACUAUAUACCAUCAGCUGACAAUCCUCCCGCAGACAUACAACUCCAGAUACCCAACUCAACAGGCAGCCGCCGGAAAACGUGUGGCGAGACCCCAUUUGCUCCAGGACUUUUCGAUCUGCUGCAGCGCUGCUACACCACUUUCAGAGCAGCAGCACCAACCAAGACACUUCUCAGCACAUUUUCUGCAUUCCAGUUCAACAUUUACCUGCUCUGUUGCAGGCUAUCGUUCUACUUCUGUGGGUUUUAUGGCGGACUACAACCCCAAAAUGUGUGUUCCCGCCACCAACUUGAUGGGGUUGAAAAAACAAGUACAUUUUCAAAGGUGGAAGAGACCCUCCACAGUUGCUGCAGUGUGUGUUCUACUGGCUGUGAUCAUGGGCCUGCGGGGUUCCUAUGCAACUGCAGAGAGAGACCAGCUACAAAAAAGUCUAAAUACCUCAACCAGAGAGAGAGACCAGCCACAAAAUAGUCUAAUUUCCACAACCACAGAGAGAGACCAGAAAUGUAAUAGUCUAUUUUCCACGACCACAGAGAGAGACCAGCCACAAAAUAGUCUAAUUUCCAUGACCACAGAGAAAGACCAGCUACAGAAUAGUUUAAAUACCAUGAACACAGAGAGAGACCAGCUACAAAAUAGUCUAAUUUCCACGACCACAGAGAGAGACCAGCUACAGAAUAGUCUGAAAACCAUGACCACAGAGAGAGACCAGCUACAGAAUAGUCUAAUUACCACGGCCAUAGAGAGAGACCAGCAACAGAAUAGUGUAAAUACCAUGAACACAGAGAGAGACCAGCUACAGAAUAGUCUAAAUACCAUGACCACAGAGAGAGACCAGCUACAGAAUAGUCUAA